UGAUGAAUUAUUACUUCCUUCAGAUUGAAUGUGGAUUGCUAAUUAACAAGUUGCUCGUGACUGAAUUUGCAUUUCAAGAUGAAAUAUUCCUGACAUUCUUUUUCUGUAACCUUGAAGAAGCUCCACUUGAAAUCAAUGGAUUGAAAUAUGCACCUGCACAGAUAAGAGAAGGAACAGGUGGUCAAAUCAAUCAGGAGGAGCAGUCACAUCUCUGGGCAGGAGGAUAUCCCUGAAUCAUGAGGUACAGCUGUUUCAAGAGACCUCUCAUGGAAGAACCUUUCCAAGAAAGGUUGGCCUUGGCAUUUUGAAGAUGCAAAUAAAUAAUUAAAUAAGUACA
rnacentral:lncRNA from 1 species